ACAGGGAUUGCCUCAGUAACGGCGAGUGAAGCGGCAACAGCUCAAAUUUGAAAUCUGGCUCUUUCAGGGUCCGAGUUGUAAUUUGUAGAAGAUGCUUCGAGUGUUAGCCUGGUCUAAGUUCCUUGGAACAGGACGUCAUAGAGGGUGAGAAUCCCGUAUGUGACUAGUGCUCUCGCUCAUGUGAAGCUCUUUCGACGAGUCGAGUUGUUUGGGAAUGCAGCUCAAAAUGGGUGGUAAAUUUCAUCUAAAGCUAAAUAUUGGCCAGAGACCGAUAGCGCACAAGUAGAGUGAUCGAAAGAUGAAAAGCACUUUGGAAAGAGAGUUAAACAGUACGUGAAAUUGUUGAAAGGGAAGCGCUUGCAACUAGACUUGCAUGCCGUCGAUCAUCCGAGGUUUUCCCCGGUGCACUCGGCGGUGUUCAGGCCAGCAUCGGUUUGGGUGGUUGGAUAAAGGCCUUGGGAAUGUAGCUUCUUUCGGGGAGUGUUAUAGCCCUCGGUGCAAUGCAGCCUACCUGGACCGAGGACCGCGCUUCGGCUAGGAUGCUGGCGUAAUGGUUGUAAGCGACCCGUCUUGAAACACGGACCAAGGAGUCUAACAUCUAUGCGAGUGUUUGGGUGUCAAACCCAUACGCGUAAUGAAAGUGAACGGAGGUGAGAACCCUUAAGGGUGCAUCAUCGACCGAUCCUGAUGUCUUCGGAUGGAUUUGAGUAAGAGCAUAGCUGUUGGGACCCGAAAGAUGGUGAACUAUGCCUGAAUAGGGUGAAGCCAGAGGAAACUCUGGUGGAGGCUCGCAGCGGUUCUGACGUGCAAAUCGAUCGUCAAAUUUGGGUAUAGGGGCGAAAGACUAAUCGAACC
rnacentral:rRNA from 1 species